GGUGUAGGUGGCUAAAUAAGUCAGAAGUGAAAGCCCUGGGCUCAACCCAGGAAGUGCUUUUGAUACUGUUUAGCUUGAGUAUGGGAGAGGGUAGUAGAAUUUCUGGUGUAGUGGUGAAAUACGUAGAUAUCAGAAGGAAUAUCGGUGGCGAAGGCGGCUACCUGGCCCAAUACUGACACUCAGACCCGAAAGCGUGGGGAGCAAACAGGAUUAGAUACCCUGGUAGUCC
rnacentral:rRNA from 1 species